rnacentral:rRNA from 1 species
GACGGGGGCCCGCACAAGCGGUGGAGCAUGUGGUUUAAUUCGACGCAACGCGAAGAACCUUACCGGGACUUGACAUUAUCUUGACCGUCUAAGAAAUUAGAUCUUCUUUCCUUUUAGGGAAGACGAGAUAACAGGUGGUGCAUGGUUGUCGUCAGCUCGUGUCGUGAGAUGUUGGGUUAAGUCCCACAACGAGCGCAACCCUUGUGCCUAGUUGCUAACUUGUUUUACAAGUGCACUCUAGGCAGACUGCCGCAGAUAAUGCGGAGGAAGGUGGGGAUGACGUCAAAUCAUCAUGCCCCUUACGUCCCGGGCUACACACGUGCUACAAUGGUCUGUACAGAGGGUCGCAAAAGAGCAAUCUUAAGCCAAUCCCAAAAAGCAGGCCUCAGUUCGGAUUGGAGGCUGCAACUCGCCUCCAUGAAGUAGGAAUCGCUAGUAAUCGCGGAUCAGCAUGCCGCGGUGAAUACGUUCCCGGGCCUUGUACACACCGCCCGU